rnacentral:ncRNA from 25 species
AUCACCGCUUAUAAUAUCAGGAUAUCUCAAUAUAGUGAUGAGAAACGGAAAACGGUGAAAAUCCGUUGCGGACGCGCCACUGUAACCGGCACACACCCCGCGCCGCGCCACUGUUCUGCUGAACGGAAAGACGCGGCCACGCGCUGCAUUACGCGCAGGGGCCGGAAGCCAGGAGACGCCUCGUCACGGCCGCCACCCG